UGGUGGGGUGACUUGUCUGCUUUAUUGCGAUAACGAACGAGACCUUAACCUGCUAAAUAGCCCGCAUUGCUCCGGCAGUGCGCUGGCUUCUUAGAGGGACUUUCGGCUCAAGCCGAAGGAAGUUUGAGGCAAUAACA
rnacentral:rRNA from 1 species